rnacentral:rRNA from 1 species
AUGAACCAGUCUGACCAGCCAUGCCGCGUGCAGGAUGACUGCCCUACGGGUUGUAAACUGCUUUUAUACUGGAAAAAACCCCCCUACGUGUAGAGGUCUGACGGUACCCUAUGAAUAAGGAUCGGCUAACUCCGUGCCAGCAGCCGCGGUAAUACGGAGGAUGCAAGCGUUAUCCGGAUUUAUUGGGUUUAAAGGGUGCGCAGGCGGAACUGUAAGUCAGGGGUGAAAUCUUGCAGCUUAACUGUAAAAUUGCCUUUGAAACUGUUAUUCUUGAGUACAGUUGAGGUAGGCGGAAUGUGGUGUGUAGCGGUGAAAUGCUUAGAUAUGACACAGAACGCCGAUUGCGAAGGCAGCUUACUAAGCUGUAACUGACGCUCAUGCACGAAAGCGUGGGGAUCAAACAGGAUUAGAUACCCUGGUAGUCCACGCUGUAAACGAUGAUUACUGGUUGUUGGCGAUAUAUAGCCAGUGACUGAGCGAAAGCAUUAAGUAAUCCACCUGGGGAGUACGAUCGCAAGGUUGAAACUCAAAGGAAUUGACGG